UACGUAGGGUGCAAGCGUUAAUCGGAAUUACUGGGCGUAAAGCGUGCGCAGGCGGUUAUGCAAGACAGAUGUGAAAUCCCCGGGCUCAACCUGGGAACUGCAUUUGUGACUGCAAGGCUGGAGUACGGCAGAGGGGGAUGGAAUUCCGCGUGUAGCAGUGAAAUGCGUAGAUAUGCGGAGGAACACCGAUGGCGAAGGCAAUCCCCUGGGCCUGUACUGACGCUCAUGCACGAAAGCGUGGGGAGCAAACAGG
rnacentral:rRNA from 1 species